AUGCUCCAAACGAUUAACAGCGUUUCUGGGUGCGCAGACACAGGCAGGCCUGCAGCAGGUGAGACGCAGACUUCUGUAAAGGAAGCGCAACCAUCGCCCCAUUCACUGAGCACGGACAGCACGCCCCACUUGGAGUCAUCACCCCAUUCGCUGAGCGCCAAUGACAUGCCCCCCUCAGAGUCACUGCCCCAUUUCUUGUUCGGUAAAUGCUCACGAAAGGCUCUGCUGGCUCAUCUCAUUGGCAAGGAAACCAAAGCUCAAGAGGCCGGCCCAGGCCCUGCUGCUUGUGCCUGCUUCUCAUGGGAGAAGCAGGUUGUGGCCCAGGGCCUCUGGGACUCUGCGCCUGUGCUUGGCCCCUGCCCUUCACUGCUCCUCCCAGAGACCUGCCUGGGCCAGAGCAGGAGAGCAUCCUGCAGGGACUGUGAAGCAAGAGGAGGAUCUCUAAUCAAAGGACGAUGUCCCUGGGCCUCCUCAGGGACUUCACCUGAAAAAGCAGCUCUUUGGUGUCGAUAUGUGGCCUGCUUCAGCAGGACGAUCACAGAGAUUGUCCACGAAGAUGUUCAGGAUCUGGCAGAAUUUUGGAGAAAACAGUGUCAGUCACCAUGGCAACAAGAUCCUGGCCCAGUGCCAGGCCCUUGGAAUCCCAUGUGCUCUGCAAGAACAGCUCCCGCUACCUUCACCAGAAGCUCUGUGCAGAGGCAAGGACUCAUCAAAAGAAAGAGGCUGACUCCCUUGUCCAGGCAGCCACCCAGAAACACAUUGAUACCAUCCUUCUCUGCCAAGUCUGGUAUCAGUGCCUCCAGGAAAACAGCUCUGAAGUUGGACACCCGCUGUUUCGAAACCCAAACCAAGUACAGCACCCCUACUCAGCAGGAAGCAGCCAGAUAAUCAACGCCCCUAUUCCUUUUUAUUAAAGUAGAAGGCAAGAAUGUUCAUCUAAACUGCACCAUUUUGUAAGCCCCCUGCCAUUUUGCAAGCCCUGGUCAAAGUGAAACAUUCCCCGGGGGCUCAGGCCGUGAGAACCAUCCUGCCUUAUCAUAUUCUGCUGGGAGAAAGUGCAAGGAACACCACAUUCCACCAGAACAAGGGCUAGAACCACCUCAUCGUGGAAACAUCUUAUCCAUAUACUGCCGAACAGCAAGCCAUACGGCCCAGACCCCUUCCACCUGUACCU
rnacentral:lncRNA from 1 species